rnacentral:rRNA from 1 species
UACGUAGGGUGCGAGCGUUGUCCGGAAUUACUGGGCGUAAAGAGCUCGUAGGUGGUUUGUCGCGUUGUUCGUGAAAACUCACAGCUCAACUGUGGGCGUGCGAGCGAUACGGGCAGACUGGAGUACUGCAGGGGAGACUGGAAUUCCUGGUGUAGCGGUGGAAUGCGCAGAUAUCAGGAGGAACACCGGUGGCGAAGGCGGGUCUCUGGGCAGUAACUGACGCUGAGGAGCGAAAGCGUGGGGAGCAAACAGG